CUGGAGAUGGUGUGGUUUACUUUUAUCAGCUUUUGGACUCUCAUUCUGACAGCACCGUUUCACUGCAGAGGGUCUAUUGGUG